GAUCAAGUCAAAGUACGUCUGGGAGUUUACAAUGUUCUUUUGCGUCGAGUAAUAGUAUCCGACAAGGCACACCGAUCGAGGAUCAUGGACGGUUUGAAAAAUGCAAAGAAGGUUGUAUGAUCUAGAUAGAACGGUCUACCUUUCUUCAUUAAGUCAUAUAUACAGGAAAGGAGAAGAUAGUGGAUUUCGUGGAGAACCAUGGAGGUGACGUCGAGUCACCUGACGCAUACUAGACCAUUGCCGAGUGCAACUUCGUGACAGAUAAUUACUUGGACGACGAAAUAACGUAAGUGUAGGCGAACUUACCCAAGAACGUUGUAUACCUGGAUAUUUGACCCAAGAACGUUGUAUACCUGGAUAUUUGACUUUGUUUGAUAUUUCAAUAUCUAUAUGAUUAUAAGCAGUUUAUAACGAACCAAUUUAAGCGCUUUGGUUUAUUUUCUUAGCGUUGGACAGACAGCUGAUCAUAAAUAAUACAAACAUAUUAAUUUAAACUUUCUUUUUUACUCUCUAGACGGAGCACGAAAAAACAGUAUUCAACUUAAGCAGGUUUAAUUUGUCAAGUGAGUGAGUGAGUGAGUGAGUGUGUGAGUGAUAAAAUGAGUAAGUGAAUGAAUGAGUAAGUGAAUGAAUGAGUAAGUGAAUGAGGGAGUCAGUGAGUCAGUGAGUGAGCAAGCGAGUGUUUGUGGUUUGGUUUAAGCAGGUUUUCGGAUUAUGUAGGGUAAUGUUUGGUAAGGCUACACCUUAGCAUUUUAGUUAUUGUCAUAUUUUCUUUUACCGGCCUUUACCAGCAGAUGAAUUGUCAAGAGAGCACUUAAUUGUAUACCAAAGGAUCUUAAAUACGAUCUAGGCAGGUACAACUGUGAGCAUUUUGCGACAUGGUGUAGAUAUGAGUUUGCCUACUGUCACCAACCGUGUGAGGUAGCAGCUACUUUGGGAACUGUUUUUGGUUAGAAUCAAGUACACGCAACCAUAAACGCACAUUCAAAAAAGGCAUUCUACAAUGUGGACACUUAAUCCAUUAACAAACAAUUGUUCAUUGGAAGCUUAAAAGUAAAGAAGUUAUAAUGACAGUGCGAAUAGAGAAAUUUAUGAAAUGUUCGAGGUCGUCCAUUUAUCAAAUCAAAAAUAAAGAAUCAACUCGUGUAACACCAUAAGAAGCUUAACAGUUACUACGGAUUCAUGGUCAGGUUUGGCUGUUCCAAAUAUAAAGCAAGGAAGUUACUGAAUUAAUAAGCUGAUAUCAAAGCAUACCCACUCGGCCACCAGUUAGCAGAAGGCUCAUUGUACUGAAAACACUAUCGUGAAAUUGUUUGUAGGGAAUCUGUGAAUGAAGAGCAAAACUAUGUGAAUAAAAACAGUAGAAAACAUGUGAAAACGACGAAGGGAUAUACUUAGACAUCAGCAAAUAAAUCCAGUUAAAACUGUU